GACGAACGCUGGCGGCGUGCCUAAUACAUGCAAGUCGAACGCAGUGGGGACGGGUGAGUAACACGUGGGUAACCUCCCAUCAGAGGGGAUAACACUUUGAAACAGGUGCUAAACCGAUACUGAUGGAUGGACCCGCGUGGCAUUAGCUGGUUGGUGAGGUAAAGGCUCACCAAGGCCACGAUGCAUAGCCUACCGUAGAGGGUGACGGGCCAAACUGGGACUGAGCCACGGCCCAGACUCCUACGUGAGGCAGAAGUAGGGAAUCUUCGGCAAUGGACGAAAGUCUGACCGAGCAACGCCGCGUGAGUGAAGAAGGUUUUAGGAUCGUAAAACUCUGUUGUUAGAGAAGCGGUAACUAAACAGAAAGCCACGGCUAACUACGUGCCAGCAGCCGCGGUAAUAG
rnacentral:rRNA from 1 species